UACGUAGGGUGCGAGCGUUAAUCGGAAUUACUGGGCGUAAAGCGUGCGCAGGCGGUUUUGUAAGCCAGAUGUGAAAUCCCCGGGCUUAACCUGGGAAUGGCAUUUGGGACUGCAAGGCUUGAGUGCGGCAGAGGAGACUGGAAUUCCCGGUGUAGCAGUGAAAUGCGUAGAUAUCAGGAGGAACACCGGUGGCGAAGGCGGGUCUCUGGGCCAUAACUGACGCUGAGGAGCGAAAGCGUGGGGAGCGAACAGG
rnacentral:rRNA from 1 species